CAUGACAUUGAGCUGAAAUUUGUCAUUAGUGUUAGCUAAUCAUAUCUUUUCUGGUGCUCCAGUUUUCUGAGAUCAAAUCCCUCUGGAUUACACAUAUCACCUAUAUAUGGAUAUGAUGAGAAAAUGCUAAAACAAAGAGGUAAAGAGGGCACCAUGACCUAGAAAGUAGAUCUGGGAGCCACAAUAACUAUGCUGAGAUAUUAAGAUGGCAGCUCAAGGUCACUGCAUACUUAGCAGGAAGGAAAAAAGCAAAGAUAAAGAAGGAUGCUAGUGAGAAGGACAACAAUGGCAACAACUAAAACAACAAAAACCUAACACCACAACUAAGCACAAAACAAAUGGGAAGUUUUACACAAGAAAGAUGCCAUUUCUUCAAGAUAAGAAGAAUUAAAAAAAAAAAGAAGGGAGAAAAGCACUUCAGCAAAACUAGCCAAUUCAUCCACUACCAGCAAAGGUCAGAAAAGCAAACCCUAUUAGCAGAGAUUUCUGAGGGAGAUACAGGAGAAAUCAUGGGACAAAGAAGUCAAGUCACCAUGCACAACUUUGACCAAAAUCUGCCUUCAGACACUGAUGAAGAUAUUACGCUAUCCUAAAUCCAAAAACAUUGGGAACAGGAAUGCCCUCAGCCAUCAUCUUAGAAAGUGAUUCCCAUGGAGUUACAACCUGGCAACUACUCCUGAAGGUACUUCAGCCACAGUUAUUGAAAACCUAGAGAAGAAAAUUCUGACCAUCAAACUACUUGAUACUGUCCAGUGACUCAACAUUAGAAACUGAUAGGAUUUUAUUCAUGAGAAUGAC
rnacentral:lncRNA from 1 species